UGGGGAAUAUUGCACAAUGGGCGCAAGCCUGAUGCAGCCAUGCCGCGUGUGUGAAGAAGGUCUUCGGAUUGUAAAGCACUUUAAGUUGGGAGGAAGGGCAUUAACCUAAUACGUUAGUGUUUUGACGUUACCGACAGAAUAAGCACCGGCUAACUCUGUGCCAGCAGCCGCGGUAAUACAGAGGGUGCAAGCGUUAAUCGGAAUUACUGGGCGUAAAGCGCGCGUAGGUGGUUUGUUAAGUUGGAUGUGAAAGCCCCGGGCUCAACCUGGGAACUGCAUCCAAAACUGGCAAGCUAGAGUACGGUAGAGGGUGGUGGAAUUUCCUGUGUAGCGGUGAAAUGCGUAGAUAUAGGAAGGAACACCAGUGGCGAAGGCGACCACCUGGACUGAUACUGACACUGAGGUGCGAAAGCGUGGGGAGCAAACA
rnacentral:rRNA from 1 species